rnacentral:rRNA from 1 species
CGCGCAGGCUGUAGAUCAAGUCAGCUGUGAAAUGUCUGGGCUUAACCCGGGCAUGCGGUUGAAACUGAUGUACUGGAGUGCUGUAGAGGCAAGUGGAAUUCCCAGUGUAGCGGUGAAAUGCGUGGAUAUUGGGAAGAACACCGGUGGCGAAGGCGACUUGCUGGGCAGCAACUGACGCUGAGGCGCGAAAGCCAGGGGAGCAAACGG